AUUGAACGCUGGCGGCAUGCCUUACACAUGCAAGUCGAACGGCAGCAUGAUCUAGCUUGCUAGAUUGAUGGCGAGUGGCGAACGGGUGAGUAAUACAUCGGAACGUGCCCUGUAGUGGGGGAUAACUAGUCGAAAGAUUAGCUAAUACCGCAUACGACCUGAGGGUGAAAGUGGGGGACCGCAAGGCCUCAUGCUAUAGGAGCGGCCGAUGUCUGAUUAGCUAGUUGGUGAGGUAAAGGCUCACCAAGGCGACGAUCAGUAGCUGGUCUGAGAGGACGAUCAGCCACACUGGGACUGAGACACGGCCCAGACUCCUACGGGAGGCAGCAGUGGGGAAUUUUGGACAAUGGGCGAAAGCCUGAUCCAGCAAUGCCGCGUGUGUGAAGAAGGCCUUCGGGUUGUAAAGCUCUUUUGUCCGGAAAGAAAUGGCUCUGGUUAAUACCUGGGGUCGAUGACGGUACCGGAAGAAUAAGGACCGGCUAACUACGUG
rnacentral:rRNA from 1 species